UCUUGUCAGUGUAAUAUCACUGAUCUAAGCCCAUUGGCUCGUUGUGGCAAGCCCAGCAGCUCAUGCUGCUCGCCCAUUAAACUUCUGUGGCACGCCCACGAUAUGCUGCAGCCUGUGGUGUUUUGGGGGUCCAAAUCAGCUUUUUACGGACUCAGAGCAUUAUUGGACUCUGCAACCAGCUGACAUUGUUGUGGUUAGCCUCUCUCUACUCUGCUGUGUCUCCACUUCUGCAUAAAACAGUUUUGUUACUUUGCAUUUGUUUAUUGGUGUGAGAAGCUUGAACAGUGCUAAAGUUCGGGUUUAUGACCGUGGUUCGAGACGGUCUAAUGAAUGUGUGUGUGUGUGUGUGUGUGUGUAUGUGUAUAUAUAUAUAUAUAUAUAUAUAUAUAUAUAUAUAGGCUAUUCAGUAACACGAGAAACGUAAAGAUGUGUGCAGCAGGCACUUUGUUUUGAAAGAUAUGUGUGGUCUGAUUAUUUAGCUAUGAACAAGAAGACAGUGCAUUUCUGAUUCAUGUUAGAUUACCAUGCUACAUUUACAUUUUUUCUUUUUUCAGAAUACAUCACAGCAGAUUACAAAGACAACAAGCUCCAGUAUCCCAACGUGUACCAAGGUUCCAUGAUGACGUUGGGUGGCAGACAGACUCCCCACAAAUCUCAGAGGCUGCACAGGCAUACCUACCUCCAAAGGGGUCAUCAGUCCACUCACAGUUGGCCUGGGGUACACUAAGGGACAAGCAAAGGACAGCUGGUCUAUAAGGUGGUAUUCCUCAAAUCCAAAAAAAACAGACACAACAUACAGAUAUGUCGGGGACUUGAUGGCACUGGUGUUGGAGGAGGUGUUUCAGGAACCAGAACCAUUCAUGGAGGAGCUGCAGAAAAUACCUGGCUCUCAAAAAGAAGGAGGGGUGGCUCGACACAUGUCCAGGUGUAGUCCAGGAGCGGGCCAAAGCCAACAUACUGUCCAGUCGGGUCAGGAAACUUGAGGCGAAUCCUCAGGUCGACACACGACAGGAUAACCACUAUGCAGUUGUGUCCCCAAGUAUCUCCAGCACCGGCUCACAAAGCUGCGAUGAGCUGCCAAGCGUCUGCACAGCCUGUAUGGAGACAAUAAAGUUGGAUGUAAAAAUGUUACUUCUCAUUGUAUAUUUACACGUAUAGUUCUACACAUUGAAAUGUUUUUUUUAACCUUAGCUGAGAAUAAAGAACUUUCAACAAA